rnacentral:misc_RNA from 1 species
GAGGAUAAGAUUAUUAUUUAUUAAAACCUUCAAUAGGUAGAAAAAGUAAGGAUUUUGGAGAUUUUGAAAACCCUCAAAAAUCUUAACUCAUUAAAAUAACUUUACUUCCAAACUUAUUAACUAAUUACAAUUACCUUCAAACUUCAUCUUCAAAAGCCUCCUCCCAAACAUAGUGUCAACUAAGACUAGAAGUUUUUAACAUCAGAUCAGCAUACAUUAAUCCAUUUGUUGUCACAGUAGACAUAAACAAGCAAUAAGCACAAACCUCUCUACAAUCCAUUAUAUCUAUACCAUAACUAUCUGCCAUCAGAGCAUCUGAUCAUACUAUGUAACCUAACAAAAGGUUUGCUGACUAGACAGCCUCAGCAAAACCAAGUUGAAGCUCACCAAAGUCGAACACAGUAUGAUACACUCUCAUGAACACAUCUCCAAGAAUCCUGUGAGCAAACAGUUUCAGGACAAAACCAAACAAAUAAGGGGGAAAUGAAGAUAGAAGUCAUAUGUAAUUGAUCUUGAAUUUCAAAGAGCAGUUUUCUAUGGCCAUGAAUCCAGAAAAAUAUUGCAUACCAGAGAGGACCUCUUGGAGGAGGUACGUCAAAAGCCAUGAACCCACUGAUGCAAACUGCUGCAAUGCCGUCUCCAGUUUUCAGAAUAUACUGCAGGUAAACAAGUGGUUUUCAAUAGGACAAAUAAGGAUGAUUUCUCCAUAUAAAUGAGCAACUAAGACUACAUGAACAGAAGAUUAACUUGUUUUGGUGAAUUUCAAAUGGAUCAUGAACUGCUCAUCAUGCACCAAAUUCCAGAAGAUGUCACAAAUGAGAAGGCAUCAUGAAAUGAAACAAACCUGCUCUGGAGUGAGAUUGAAAGGUUUAUCUCCUAUGGUAAAAGUGAUGUUUGGCAUGCUUAAAACGCUGUCACAAUCGAUCACUGACUCUCCCAUUGGACUUGGGAGGCUAUCGCAUAACUGGGUCAAGGAUCAUUCCCAGAAAUUAACACCACAUGCAGAAACUGGCUUCUGAACAGAAGUGGAGUUUCAGAAAUAAGUCACCUUAUUCACAUAGUUGAGUGCUGCCUCCUUUGUCUUCUUUUGUUUUAGUUGAUUCUGGACCCAAAUGACAAGCAUCUCACAGGCUGUGCAUAGAAGAUCAUCCCCAAUAGACGAUUCCUCCUUGUUUUCCUUCUCAACCACUGAUUCAAUCACAGUGCUGCAUGUAAUCAUGUUUCACAUAAAUCCAAUAUAUUCUUUGGACAAAGUUUUAAGCACUGAUAUCGGUUAAGACAAACUAGACCAAGAAUGACAACGGGUGAGGUCAUUAAGAAAGAACUAUUAUUACUAGACCUUAUUGAAAAGGAACAAUAUAGUCAAGAAUCAAAGGCAUUAAAGUGGUCAAAGAGAUAAUAAAUCAGCUAUGCAGACCGAAAGAAGUUGUGGACUAGUCAAGAUAACUCUAGAUUUCUAGUCUGUACAUAAUCAAUGACUGCCAAAGUCUCUGGCAUGUAAUAUGAAGUUGCAGCCAAAAAAAUUGAUCUGAGAACGUUAAAUUCCCUUACCUCUUAUACUGAGCCCCGUUGAAAAUGCAUAAACCUAGCUGUGAGCAUACUUUACCAGGUUGUACCUGAAGAGAACAAUACAAAUUUCAGUCUAUCUACUACAGGAAAUGCGAUAAAGAUUGAAAACAUGAGAAAAGGAUAAGCAAAAUAAGUGUCAGCCCACCCCUGAUAUCAGUAGAUCCCAUAUUAACUCUCCAUACUGUGUGAUCACUUCCUUGCACUCAGCACUCACAAUCCCUUCUGCUCCAAUGGCAUGAUUGAUUUCAGUCACAAUAGCUGUUGGACCAGCAAGCAAGGAUGUUCCUGAAUCCACAAUUGCAGCACAACCCCCUUGGCAGACACCUGUUGAAUGGUCUCCAAUUAGAAAAUCUCCCAUACUGAACUGCCAGUAACCUUUUUGGGUAAUUGGAACAUAUGUAUGUUUCCCCUUAUAGUGUUUUUCAUCAACACCACCAAAAACAAUCUCACCACCCUCUACAGCAUCUGGAUCCUUGUUGAGCCAGAAUGAGAAGACAUCAUCGCCUACAAGUUGCUGCUGCAUCAUAUUAUACCACACAGGAACAGCAUUCCCAACUGAGAUUUCCUGAAACCCAAGCCCAAGAAUUCCAUCAAACUUUGCCAAGACAAAUGUGAGACUUCCUUCUCGUGUAGCCUCAAUGAAAACUUGAUCCUUGACAAUGAGAUUUCCAACUUCAACAUUAUCUUGACUCAAGAAACCAACAAUUGAUCCAGAUCCAUACUGUAUUUCACAAGUUGUUCCAUUCCUGGCAUAUGUACUGGAUCUACUUGACUUGUACCUAGAAUGGAAAUAGCAGGCAAGAGACAAGUGGCAUUUUGAUGAUGGAAUCCAAAGAUUGGAACUGCCAGUAUCAAAUAUGACAGUGAACUUCUGUGGGGGCGAGCCAAUACCAAUUUCUCCCAGGUACUGAGCAUCCAAAUAGUUUUUAAGAGGUACUAUAUCUAUAUCUGAAUUAUGAAGCUCGCUGUGUCUACCAACUCCUGAUUUUCCUUCCUGCCUUGCAAGUCUAGCAGCAUUAAUGCUAUCGAGAUCCAGACGACGCUUCUUCAAACUUAUUCUCACUAGGCCAUCAGAGGUAGCAGGAAGAAGUAGGCAUGUCAAAACCCAGAAACAAAAUGCCAACCAGAGUAUUUGGUUCCCCAUAAUUAGGUAAACUCCUGCCAGAAAAUAUGACAGAAAGAUUCAGCUGGACAAAUCAAAUCAACAACAGGAGUUGUAGAUAAUCACAAAUAUAUCAGACGAGUAAAUGAAUUAAUGUUCUGUAAGGAAAAAGAUUAGUUCAGGGUAAUCUUUGAUGAUUAUAUGAUUGUGAACACUGUCAUAUUUCUCAUAUGAGGGUAUUCAAUAAUAAAUUGCAAGGAAAUGAAUCAAGAUAUAAAGCAUCGGGAUAUUUCACUGGGAGACAAUAGUACAAAAAGAAUAAAAAGAAUUAUUAGAAAACUAUAUUUGAAGCUGGAAUUCACCUAAUAACACUUGUUGAUCCAAAACAGCAAAUUAGAAAAAUAAAUCAGCAAUACCCACAAAAACACUGAUAGCCUGUGUCCCUUUUCCAAUUUGGAUUAUGCAUUUUUAAUUUUAUAAACACGCGCAUGCCCACAAACACACCCACAUGAGCAUCCAUGGAAUUCAUGGGAAUUCAACAACAGAAGGACAGAGGCAUUUAAUCAAAAGCAGAAACUGAGAGCCUACAAGUAUCUUCUGAUUAAAGUAACAAAAUAAACAGUAUCAAUCACAGUUUGAAGAAUUAAAGAUAAGGGUUAUUAUUACAACUUCUUAAUCAUCAAAACCAAUA